AGCUGCUUAGCUAAAAAAUGUUAGUGGAUGGCGUGGUGCCAGUAAGAUGGUAUCAAUAUGAUCUGGUCUCAAUUAAGUUAGUCGCAGAAGUGGUAACCAGCUAGAAGUGGUAACCUGCUUGUAUGAAAGGUGAAAUUGUUAAUUUUAUUCAGCAACGCCAAGAAACAGAGCUCGCUCAAGAAACAGGAAAGAAAGAGGAAGAUAAAAAAAUAUUCUGUUGAACAAUACUGUUGUUUUAUUUA